rnacentral:tRNA from 1 species
UUUUAAUGUGGCAGAAAAGUGCUAUGGAAUUAAGCCCCAUCUAUGAGGAAAUACUUCCUCCAUUAAAAA